rnacentral:rRNA from 1 species
CUUGUUGGUAGGGUACGGCCUACAAUGCUACGAUUGGUUAGCUGGUCUGAGAAGGAUAUCAGCCACACUGGAACUGGACCACGGUCCAAACUCCUAACUGGAGGCAGCAGUGAGGAAUUUUGCGCAAUGGGGGGAAACCCUUGACGCCAGCAAACGCCGCGUUGAGUGAUUGAAGGUCCUUCGGAUCGUAAAGCUCUGUCAAGAGGGAAGAAGUUGUGUAUGGCUAAUAUUCAUAUGCAUUGACGGUACCUCUGAAAGAAGCACCGGCUAACUCCGUGCCAGCAGCCGCGGUAAUACGGGGGGUGCAAGCGUUAUUCGGAAUUAUUGGGCGUAAAUGGCCGCGCCAUGCGGCCUGUUAAGUCAGUUGUAGAAAGCCCGGGGGCUUAACCCCGGGAAGUGCGAUUGAUUACUGGCCAGGGCUUAGAGGUAUAGGGAAGAAGGUGACGUUGGAAUUCCUCGGUUGUAGAGGUGAAAUUUGUCGAUAUCAGGAGGAACACCGGUGGCGAAUGCGACUUCCUGGACCAA